UCUCUAAUCUUUGACCAGCAACUCAGAUAAGUGAAGAUAAAUAGCACCGGUUUUGUAAUUUAUUUUUAUUUGUUUAUUUCUUAAGUAGUCUCCACAUUCAGCGUGGAGCCCAGUGCAGGGCUUGAAUUCACAACCCUGAGUUCAUGACCUGAGCUGACAUCAAGAGUCAAAUGCUCAACCGAGCCACCUAGGUGCCCCAUACUAAUUUAACCCAUAUACAAUACAUCCCAUUCUUUUCUUGAGCACCUGAAAAAGUAUCUGCUAACUUUUUUUAAAACCAGUGUCAAUGGGGAUCCUUGGGUGGCUCAGUGGUUUAGCGCCUGCCUUCAGCCCGCGGUGUAAUCAUGGUGUCCUGGGAUCGAGUCCCACAUCAGGCUCCCUGUGUGGAGCCUGCUUCUCCCUCUGCUUCUCCCUCUGCUUCUCCCUCUGCCUCUCUCUCUCUCUCUCUGUCUUUCAUGAACAAAUAAAAUCUUUAAAAAUAAAAAUAAAUAAAAAAUUAUAUAUAUAUAUAUAAAACCAGUGUCAGAGGGAGGCCUGGGUGGCUCAAUGGUUGAGUGUCUCCCUUUGGCUGAUGUCAUGAUCCCAGGGAUCCUGGGAUUAGGUCCUGUAUCAGGUGCCCUACAGGGAGCCUGCUUCUCCCUCUGCCUCUCUUUCUGUGUCUCUCAUGAAUAAAUAAAUAAAAUCUUUAAAUAAAUAAACAAGUGUCAGAAACCCCUUUCCUUAGUGUCCGUGAACAUGAGUUAGCUAAGGGCUGGGCAAGGUAUGGUAAAGGACUACAGAGGAGACCUAUCUGAUCCAACUCUGCUCUUAAGUGUCCCUUCAGUGUGUAGUUUAUUACAUCCCUCCUUGAGUUGAGCCAAGACUCCAGGAACAGAGCAGAGAGGCUGCACAUGGGUGCACAGUAGGUGCAUUUGAAGGAGUGAUUAGUUCUCCCCCGCCCUAUACUCCACUCCUACAGGGUUCAUCCUUCCCUGAGCAUUUUUCAAAUUUUUUUAUGAAAAAUUUCAAAGGGGGAUUCCUGGGUGGCUCAGCGGUUUAGCACCUGCCUUCCACCCAGAGCAUGAUCCUGGAGACCUAGGAUCAAGUCCCACAUCAGGCUCCCUGCAUGGAGCCUGCUUCUCCCUCUGCCUGUGUCUCAGCCUCUCUCUCUCUCUCUCUCUCUCUCUCUCUCUCUCUCUCCCUCUCUGCCUCUCAUGAAUAAAUAAAUAAAAUCUUUAAAAAAAAAAUUUCAAAGGUACAAAAAGUUGCAAGGAUUCUACAGGGAAAACCCAUAUACCCACCACCUACAUUUUACAGCUGUUAGAUUUUCCCCUGACUUCUUUUAAAAGUUUGUUUAAAUAAUGGUUUCUGAGACAGCAGAACUAGUCAGUUAUACUGGGAAGUUACAAGGUAUCGGUGGUGCUUGGUGUUUUAGAAAGAU
rnacentral:lncRNA from 1 species